rnacentral:rRNA from 1 species
UACGGGGGGGGCAAGCGUUGUUCGGAGUUACUGGGCGUAAAGGGUGCGUAGGCGGCUUCUUAAGUCUGGUGUGAAAUCUCCCGGCUCAACUGGGAGGGUGCGCCGGAUACUGAGGGGCUAGAGUGUGGGAGAGGAAAGUGGAAUUCCUGGUGUAGCGGUGAAAUGCGUAGAUAUCAGGAGGAACACCGGUGGUGUAAACGGCUUUCUGGACCAUAACUGACGCUGAGGCACGAAAGCGUGGGUAGCAAACAGG